GACGUAGGGCGCGAGCGUUGUCCGGAUUUAUUGGGCGUAAAGAGCUCGUAGGCGGCUUGUCGCGUCGACUGUGAAAACCCGCGGCUCAACCGUGUGGCGGGCAGUUGAUACGGGCAGGCUAGAGUUCGGUAGGGGAGACUGGAAUUCCUGGUGUAGCGGUGAAAUGCGCAGAUAUCAGGAAGAACACCUAUGGCGAAGGCAGCACUCUGGGACGGUACUGACGCUGAGACGCGAAAGCGUGGGGAGCGAACAGG
rnacentral:rRNA from 1 species